CUUCUGUAGGGUUGCUGUGGGUUUACUUUCGGGCCCUAUUCAUCUGAUUGCUCCCAUGCCUGAGAUGUCACUCAAGGAGGCUGGAGAACAGCAAAGAUGGGUGCCUGCUCCUUCCUCUGGGAUCUCUGACCUCAAGGGGCACCAACCUGAUGCCAGUAGGAACACUCCUGUAUAGGGUGUUGACACUCCUGUUGGGGGGUCUCACCCAGUUGGGUGGCAUGGGGAGCAGGACCCAUUUAAUGAAGCACUUUGACUGUGCCUUGGUGGAGGGGGGGUGUCCCACACUGGGGGAAAACCCACUCAUCUGGGUUGCCUAUAUUCAUCAGAACUAACAGGAAGGAUCACUAAGUUGGCUGGUCUGUGGAGACUAUGGCCACCCUAUCCCCUAGGGGCUCAGGCCCAGGGAGAUCAGAGUUUUGUCCCUGAGUCCCUGGCUGGAGUUGGAGUUCCUGCAGGGAGGCCCUGCCCAGUGAGGAGGGCUGGGUCAGGGUCAGGCCUGAAGACACACUCUGGCCUCAGUCUGCCACAGCUGGUGUGUUGGGCUGUGGGGAAUACCUCUUGGGACCAAGCCAUCCAGUCUCCCUGGCUCCAGCAGGGAAAAGCCCGGCUGGGAGCUGUAGAGAUGGCUGCCACCCUUUCUCCCGCCCUGGGAGCUUAGUGUAUUAGGCAGCUAGCGGUCCCAGUGUUGGCUGCUGCCCCUCCCCAAGGAGCUCAGAUGGCUUAGACAGCAGGCAGCUGCCCCUCCCCACUGGGGAACUCAGCAGGCUUAAGCAGAUUCUAGCUGAGUGGAUGUUGAGAAUCUGUGUGGCUCCAUGGUUAGGACCCUAGGCCCCAGAGGUGUGGACUGACGAGUGAGAUCUUCCGAUUUGUGGGUUGCACAGUUCCAUUGGAAAAGCACAGUUUCCCAGGCUGCGUAGCACACUGACUCAAGGGCUCCCCAGCCCCAUGUGCUUCUUAGGUGGCCCGCUGUACCACACCGCUCUUCCUUCCUCUCUGUGGGUCACACCAGCUGCCUAGUCAGUCGUGAUGAGAGAACCCGGAUGCCUUGGUUACCAGUGCUGGAUGCAUAUGCUGCUUUGGUUCUUCUUGAUGGCAGCCUUCAGUCACGGCUGCUUCUAGUUGGCCAUCUUGGCCCCACUCCAAAAAUCCGUUCAAUUCUUAGUUUUAUUACAAUCAAAUUUAUAUAUCUUUUAUUUUGUAACUAGUAACUUUUGUGUCUCGAUGAAGAAUUUGGUCCCUUUCCCAGGUCAUAAAGAUAUUUGCUUAUAUGUAUAUCUUCUGAACGUUUUAAAUUUUGCUGUGGCAUUUGGAUUCUUAAUCCAUUUGGAAUUGAUUUUUGACAGUAUGAGAUAGGGAUCCAUUUUCAGUUAUUUCCAUGUAUAAUAAAAAACCACCUUUUCCAGUGAAGGCAGGAUUUAAAUCUGGAUCUGUCCAACUUGAAAGCCCGUGCUCUUAAUCACUAUGCUAUUCCAGGGAAACAAUGGCAUGGACUGUUCAAUAAACAAGUGCAAGGCACCUGGGAGCACAGAAGAAUAAGGCACGGCUGCUACCUCCACUGUUGCUCCUUAGCAGAAACCAAGGGCUAUGUUGGAGCUCUCUUCAGAGACUUCUUUUCCUUCUAAGGUUUUUUUGUUUUUUUUAAAUUGAGAUGGAGUCUCACUCUGUCUCCUGGGCUGGAGUGCAGCAGCGUGAUCUCAGCUCACUGUAACCUCCACCUCCUGGGUUCAAGUGAUUCUCGUGCCUCAGCCUCCCGAGUAGCUGGGAUUACAGGUGUGCACCACCACACUCAGCUAAUCUUUUGUAUAUUUUGUAGAGAUGAGGUUUCACCGUGUUGGCCAGGCUGGUCCCGAACUCCUGAGCUCAAGUGAUCCGCCUGCCUUGGCCUCCCAAAGUGCUGGAAUUAUAGGUGUGAGCCACUGUGCCCAGCCCGCUGGAAUUAUAGGUGUGAGCCACUGUGCCCAGCCCCCUUCUAAGUUUUAUGAUAACAUAUUUCAGCUCAUCUUUUGGCAUCAGCAGAUCCACUGAGGGGUUCCUAUGGUAAACUCUGGGCCUCACUACUUUAUUUCUUGAAGGUUAAUGUGACGGUGUGAAAAAGAACAUAGAGCCAGACAGAGCUGGUCCUAAGGCUCAGUUCUUUCACAUAGCAGCCUUGGGGAAUUAAACAUUUUCUGAACCUCAGUUUCUUCAUCGAUAAGAUGGGAAUAAUAAAGCUUAUCUCACAGGGUAGUUGAGAGGAUUACAUAAAAGGUGACACAGAGGAGGUAGUCAACAAAUGUGUUACCCUUUUUUCUGUCCUAACACUGCUCCUCACCUGCAAGUUAACAAAUGACACCAUUUCUUCCAUUGUCUCCCAUUGAUUUAUGCCUACCCUUCCAUUUUUUGUCUCCAGCUAGCUUAGGCUUCCUUACCACAACCCCUUUCUUGGUCUUCUGGACUCUAGUAGCAGAAUCUAGAAUGGUUGGCAGUGUCAAAUCAAUGCAUUGCAACAGUAACAUACCCUCGAGCCUCACUUACGGGUUGUCUCAAGCCUAUGGCUGAAGAAUAGGGAUCAGAAUGUGCAUGUACCUCACAUUUCUGUAAGUUGAUCUUGCUUCUUAAGCUUUCCUCUCUCCUUUCUACCCAGAAGAUCGCCAACAGGGCCACUGUGCUCAGCACGUUCUUCCUGUGUGCAAGGCCUCCACUGUGAGCCCUGGAAUCCUGCCAUGCCCUGUACAGCUGCAGCACUUCAAACUCAUUUUUGCUCCUCCCUGCCUUACUGACUCUUCUCUCAUCAGUUUGGUUCCCUGAAGAUCACUCUACCCACUCUCCAUUGGCACCUGUCUUACAAACAUUCAUUGCUAAUAACAAUGAUAACAUGUCAUACUUACAUGAGGCACUUUGAUAUCUAUCAUCUUGAAGAGGAAGACACUUGGCUAUUAUUGUCCCCAUCUCAUGGAUUAGCCUCAAAGAGUGACUUGUCCAAGGUGGGCAUUACACCAUAGGCAAGUGGCAGAGCUGAUAUUGUAACCCAGAACCAGGGCUUCUGGUGUCAAGGUCAUAGCUCUUUGCAUUCUUUGUUUUCAACCAUAAACGUAGACCUUGACUAAUUGAAGCAAAAGAGAAUAUAUUGGAAGGGGACUGGAUACUGAGUAGCUCAUGGAAUUGAAGAGAGACAACUGAAAAAACAAGCCUUGGGAAGCUGAAGGACCAAGAUGGCCCCAAACGUCUAAGUAACAAGAGGUCACAGACCUUACCAUUGGACACCGUCAUUGUCCCUCUGCAACCUUACUGCGAAUGAGAAUCCUCAGUAGCAAAAGGGCUUAAUUCACUCAUUCACACUUCUCAUGGGGGUUUCAGCCCACUAGGACUUCUGCCUUGUGGAACGGUGGCUCACCUACAGAGCUGACAAAACUGGCAGAUGUCGAUAACACAGCCUCCUAGGACAUUAUCUCUUCUUGUCAUCUCCCCUCUGUGAGGUUUGAGAAUCUUGUCACUUCAGCUGGCCUGGGAGCUCCUACCCCAGUUUCUUCCAGGAAUUCCAUACACAGCGCUGGUACACAGCCAAGACUUCAUAAAUGAUCUUGGAAGGCUGAGUUAGGGAAAGAGUUCCUGUUCUCAGGGUCUUAGACUUAAGACAAGCCUUUUGGCUUUGUUUGAAUUUGCUUUCUUAGUAAAAACAAAAAGAAAAACAAAAGGCCAGACAUCAAAACAGAAGAGAAAGGCCUUUCCCCACAUGCAUUCCCAGGUGCCCAGAGCUGGCUUUGAGAAGCUUGAGUGAGACAGGCACACUCCCACUCAGUCCCUAAUUAAUUGAUCACCUCCAUCUGGUCAAAAUGUUUACUGCUUCUGCCUACUCCUCAGCAGGGAGGAGUCCCUGGUUCAGCAAAGCAGCAAGUGUGAAAGGGGAAAACAACAGCCCCCAUACAGCACAUGCAGCACCACGUCUAACCCACACUAUAGAUGUGGCUCUAUCUAUAGCCUUGUCAUCAAUCAGCAGGUGAUGAGGUGUGGGAGCCGCGCUGGGUCCCGUCACUGCCUGGGGCACUUUGCAAUGUCACUGCGUGCAUUCUUCAUCCAAGCUAAAUAGAGUGCUGGGUGGGGUGCUCUUUCUUGCACUAUUUACAAGCCCCUGGGAUUUUUCCUUAUCCCAAAGGACUGUGAAGGGAACAUGUGGACCUCAGCAAUUUCUGUGGUGAAGUCAUAGGGUGCUAGGAGGGCCACCUGAGCCUGGGAGAUUAAACCCAAGGCUACUGAGCUUUAAAGAUAGGGAUGGGGUUAAGGCAGAAAAGAGGCAGGAAGAGGAAAUUUGAUUCUUCUAAAUCUUACCUCAUUUAAACAUUUGUGUGGGAAAAUUCCAAUUAUGCUUCUUGACAGAGCAGAUUUUUACAAUGUUCCAAAUGUAAAAGUUGGAAAGAGGCUACAAAUGAAAACAAGUCGGUAAUACCUAAAGCCAAAAAUAAGCCAGAAUUAAUCAGAAUUACCUAACUAUCUCAGGCUAAGUGGAGUUCAAAUGAUCUGUAAUCUAGAAUCUAGAUCAACCUUCCUCUCACUCCCACAGAAAACUCUAGAAUGUGACAUUGGGAAAAUGCUCUGUCAUUUCAGAGGCACCACCUCCUGAUUCUGUGGUCCUGGCAUGUCAGCACCUGACUGUGGUGAUCUGAGAAAUGGGGAUAGUAAGGCCUGCCCUGGCUCCCCAGAUGGCUUCUCUAGAGAUGCAAGACACAUUGAUGUGAAGCAGAGCUCUUCAGAAGUGGGGCAAUGCUGGAAGCGGACGUUGUGGGGUGUUUGGUGGCUUCUCAGAACUCAUUGGCCAUGUCCAACCCCCUUCUCUUCAUGCCCUAUUUUUACUCCUCUUUCAAAUGUCCUGCUCUUCACUUCUCACCACAUACUUCUUCUUCGAGAUUCCUUUUCCCCGGUUCUAGGUCUUGGUUAAGAUUUCCCAAAGGUAUUUUCAUGGAUCCCUAGUCCCCAAAAUGGCCCACAACUAAAGGAGGUUCUAAGAACAAAUUGGUUUGAGAAACAACAAGCACCAUGACCGCCUUUCAGAAAGUACAGCUCUCAUUAGGCUCUGAGAAGUCUUGCAGGAAGGAAGCUUGUCUACCUGUGCUCUUUAGUUAGUACUUUCAUAAUUAAUUUGACCACAGAAGCCAUUGUUCAAAUAUCGCCUAUUAAUACCUCCCCCAAAAUACAGCUUGGGAAAUGUCCUAGAUAAUGAUGAUGAUGAUGAUAUGAUGAUGAUGAUGAGGCCCAUUGAUCAAACACUUACUACAUCAGAAAUAAACACUUAAUAACAUUUAACUCUCAGGCAACCCAGUGAGAUGGGUGGCAUUACCCAUACCUAGAAAGUGAGACUGAUUGACACCCAGGUCUGGCUAUUUCUGUUUUACAAAUAAGGAAAAUGAGAUGCAAGGAAGGUAAGUAUUUUGCCCAGUCUUAUAGCUAGUGAGUAGUGGAGUUGGGCCAUGAACCCAAGUCUUGUACCCAGGUCUGUCUAACUUUAAAGGUCCCACUCCUGAUCACCGCACACAUGAGCCUGUGGCUCGUAGGCUGAGUUCACACAUGGCUUCACACUGGAGGGGCUGCUCAGGCAUGGCCACCCCUCAGGAGUUUAUAUGAUGGAGGGUGGAAUUGGAUCCAUAGGCAGCCAACCUAGUGUAUGGCCCUCAGCAACCCAUAAAAUGGGACAGUCACACCCUCUGGAAUCCAUUGCAAUGGGACAGUCACACCCUGUUGCUGGAAAAAACAGGAAACCCAGAUUCAAGAGCUGGAGUGGUUUUGACCAGUGUGGUUUAACCAGGCAGCAGCCAUGAAGCCUGAAGUGCUCCAGAAUCUGUCCUUUCAACAAAUCUACCCCACCCUCCCAGGACCAGAGCUUUGCUCCUGCAUCCACAGUGCUCAAAGCUGCUUAGGUUGCCUGGCUGCUUUUCGCUAAUUGAAACCUGUUGUGGUGCCUGUUGCUAUAAACACUUGGCCAAUUUGCAUAAGUAUGUGACAUUAUAAAAGUUCCUGAAAGAUCUUAUCCACAUGGCUGGCACAGGGCCCAAAUGAAAAGCCAGGUAGACAAUGUGUGUGUUAUUAAAAGAAAUAAUAAUCUUGUUUAUGUUCCUUGUGCAGGUGAACAGGGCAAGAAAUGGAAAGCGUAUCCAAUCCAGAGGCACCAAAAUGCUCGGGGGUCGGGGCUGAAGGUGCCAGUUUGCCCAGAGGUCCGUCCUGAGACAGAUGGAUUCAUCAACAGUGCUUGGCUUUGAGAGAAGGGCACUGGAGAAGACUCCGAGGACACCCCUGUUCCCUCAGUGUUGCAGUGAGGUGAGUGUAGCUCCGCCACCGAGCGAGAGCCAGCCUACCGGCCCCUCCCAGGCUGCAGCCGUGAUCUCUGGGUGACCAGAGCUCAUCCCAUCUUAGCCUGGGCACCUCCAAAACACAGCCUGAAACCAAAGCUUGCAUGCAAGUUGUUAGGAAUGAGAUUUCAGCGAGCAAGAGAGACAGAUGGGGAGUAAAACGGGAGAAGCGAACCCUGAUGGAAGAGUGUCUUAGGGGUUGGCGGCUGCUCAAGGUAACUGGAGUGCAUUCCUCUGUGGCCUUCAGAGGAGCCUCAUGAAAUGUCUAAAAAGAGUCCGCCGAGUCUAAAAAGAAAAAAAAAAAAGGGUCCACCAGGGGGCAAAAUGCAAAGCGUUUCUCCAUUGGCUCCUGUCUCCCAUUGGUCAAGGCUUUGACCGAUGAGCUUGAAUGCCCCGUGCUCCGGGUUGCCCACGUGUGAGUGCAGGGUAGGUAGUGUAAGUUCCAGGUGCAGG
rnacentral:lncRNA from 1 species